rnacentral:piRNA from 1 species
UGAGGGCAGUGUCAUGGGCCAUAGAC